rnacentral:rRNA from 1 species
GACGAACGCUGGCGGCGUGCUUAACACAUGCAAGUCGAACGGAAAGGCCCUGCUUUUGUGGGGUGCUCGAGUGGCGAACGGGUGAGUAACACGUGAGUAACCUGCCCUUGACUUUGGGAUAACUUCAGGAAACUGGGGCUAAUACCGGAUAGGAGCUCCUGCUGCAUGGUGGGGGUUGGAAAGUUUCGGCGGUUGGGGAUGGACUCGCGGCUUAUCAGCUUGUUGGUGGGGUAGUGGCUUACCAAGGCUUUGACGGGUAGCCGGCCUGAGAGGGUGACCGGCCACAUUGGGACUGAGAUACGGCCCAGACGCCUACGGGGGGCAGCAGUGGGGAAUAUUGCACAAUGGGCGGAAGCCUGAUGAAGCAACGCCGCGUGCGGGAUGACGGCCUUCGGGUUGUAAACCGCUUUCGCCUGUGACGAAGCGUGAGUGACGGUAAUGAGUAAAGAAGCACCGGCUAACUACGUG